ensembl:snRNA U6 U6 spliceosomal RNA
GUGCUUGCUUCAGCAGCACAUUUACUAAAAAUUGGAACGAUACAGAGAAGAUCAGCAUGGCCCCUGCGCAAGGAUGACACGCAAAUUCAUGAAGUGUUCCAUAUUUUC